rnacentral:tRNA from 1 species
GCGGAUGUGGCGGAACUGGUAUACGCGCAGGCUUGAGGUGCCUGUGGCCGCAAGGCCUUGGAGGUUCAAGUCCUCUCAUCCGCA